CAACCAUCAAGCCCCAGGCUUGUGUUGGAGCCCUGCGGCCGCCGCAGGCUCCCAAAAUCAGUGGCGGGCUCGCUAUCACACCGAGUGCAGUAGUUUACUCUUCGCUCAGGGCGUGUGGCGGGUGCUAGCCGUGAAACCCCCCAACUUCUCAA
rnacentral:misc_RNA from 1 species